rnacentral:lncRNA from 1 species
AUGAUCUUUAAGGUCCCUUCCAACCUAGAAGAUUCUGUGAUUCUGUAUUUCUUUAUCAGGAAGAAGCUUCUCUCCAAAGGCGUCGUUCUGCGGCACGACAGGCUUUGUCGGGGAAGGCACCCAGUGCCUACGUCCAGCUCUUUCAAAGGGACCUGGCAGUCAGUCCCGCACCAGGCAGCCCCCAUCAACACUUACUGGAACCACCAACCCAAGUUUCUUUGCUCUCAGAUGGAAGAAACAUCACCCAAGACCAGAGCUUCCCCCCGACUAACCCAGGGAGCCGGUGAGUUCAUUUUUCAAGAGAGCAGCUCGUUGAUGGGUGGAAUGAAGGUUGAUGCUGCAAUGUGCAAGAUCUGAAACCAUUUCCCAAGCUGAUGCAGAUGUCUCAUCUGCUACAUCAACAGCCUUGUUACACGUGUGUCACUGCAGCAUCAAAGAAAGUCUUGUAAUUUGUGGGGAUGGUUUCGUUCAGACACCAUAAUUUGUGUUAACAGAAAGGGAAUUUCAAGAGCUUUCUAUCAAGAGGGUGUUUGAAGGGAAAAAGAUGCUGAAAGAAACUUGGUCCAGGUGUAAAAAAACCAGAACUGGAGUGCUAAAUACUGUUUUAGACAAGUUGAUCAGAUAUUGCUAUCAGAAUUAUUCCUCAUUCUCUCUUUAGAGAAUUACCAUAGUUACUGCUGAAUAUCAUUUGGGAGGCUCUGGGUGAUAUCAUGGGCUUCAAAUUCAUAUCUCCUCCGUGAUUAACAGCAGAUCCCAUCCAGGGUACUGAGCUCUGUAGUACCUUCACCUGCUCUUACCCUCUCAGCCAGAGCUGCUUCAUAUCCUGUCCAGCAUCUCUGCUCUUUUCUCAAGUCACAGGUGACAGGACAAGAGGAAAUGGCCUCAAGUUGCGCCAGGGGAGGUUCAGGCUGGAUAUUAGGAAAAAUUUUUUCACUGAAAGGGUUCUCAGGCAUUGGAAUGGGCUGCCCAGGGAGGUGGUUGAGGCACCAUCCCUGGAGGUGUUCAAAAGACGGGUUGAUGUAGUGCUGGGAGGUAUGGUUUAGUGAUGGUGAUGCUUCUUGUUUGUUGUGUGGGUGUCUAUUUUUGUCAGAGUUAGGUUGACGGUUGGACAAGAUGAUCUUUAAGGUCCCUUCCAACCUAGAAGAUUCUGUGAUUCUGUGAGUGAUGAACAUCCUCAUUUAUUGGUACUGCAGCUAAACAGGUUCUGAGAUAAGGGAGGGAGACAAAUCCUAAUGUCAUUUAAAGCUUGUAGAGAGGUGAGGAUAGAAGAAGAUUUGAAGAGGCUACAUCUUCAGUGUCUUUUAGGGCUUCAGCUGUGAAGAAGGCUGUAUCUUCCUGACUUGCUCUGCAGGUCUAC